rnacentral:rRNA from 1 species
AGUUUGAUCCUGGCUCAGGAUGAACGCUGGCGGCGUGCUUAACACAUGCAAGUCGAACGGUGAACACGGAGCUUGCUCUGUGGGAUCAGUGGCGAACGGGUGAGUAACACGUGAGCAACCUGCCCCUGACUCUGGGAUAAGCGCUGGAAACGGCGUCUAAUACUGGAUAUGUGACGUGACCGCAUGGUCUGCGUCUGGAAAGAAUUUCGGUUGGGGAUGGGCUCGCGGCCUAUCAGCUUGUUGGUGAGGUAAUGGCUCACCAAGGCGUCGACGGGUAGCCGGCCUGAGAGGGUGACCGGCCACACUGGGACUGAGACACGGCCCAGACUCCUACGGGAGGCAGCAGUGGGGAAUAUUGCACAAUGGGCGCAAGCCUGAUGCAGCAACGCCGCGUGAGGGACGACGGCCUUCGGGUUGUAAACCUCUUUUAGCAGGGAAGAAGCGAAAGUGACGGUACCUGCAGAAAAAGCGCCGGCUAACUACGUGCCAGCAGCCGCGGUAAUACGUAGGGCGCAAGCGUUAUCCGGAAUUAUUGGGCGUAAAGAGCUCGUAGGCGGUUUGUCGCGUCUGCUGUGAAAUCCGGAGGCUCAACCUCCGGCCUGCAGUGGGUACGGGCAGACUAGAGUGCGGUAGGGGAGAUUGGAAUUCCUGGUGUAGCGGUGGAAUGCGCAGAUAUCAGGAGGAACACCGAUGGCGAAGGCAGAUCUCUGGGGCCGUAACUGACGCUGAGGAGCGAAAGGGUGGGGAGCAAACAGGCUUAGAUACCCUGGUAGUCCACCCCGUAAACGUUGGGAACUAGUUGUGGGGUCCAUUCCACGGAUUCCGUGACGCAGCUAACGCAUUAAGUUCCCCGCCUGGGGAGUACGGCCGCAAGGCUAAAACUCAAAGGAAUUGACGGGGACCCGCACAAGCGGCGGAGCAUGCGGAUUAAUUCGAUGCAACGCGAAGAACCUUACCAAGGCUUGACAUAUACGAGAACGGGCCAGAAAUGGUCAACUCUUUGGACACUCGUAAACAGGUGGUGCAUGGCUGUCGUCAGCUCGUG